ACUCCUACGGGAGGCAGCAGUGGGGAAUAUUGCGCAAUGGACGAAAGUCUGACGCAGCGACGCCGCGUGGAGGAUGAAGGUUUUCGGAUCGUAAACUCCUGUCAAGAGGGAAGAAACCUAUUAUGAAUAAUACUCAUAGUAAUUGACGGUACCUCUAGAGGAAGCACCGGCUAAUUCAGUGCCAGCAGCCGCGGUAAUACUGAAGGUGCAAGCGUUAAUCGGAAUCACUGGGCGUAAAGCGCUCGUAGGUGGCUUUGUAAGUCAGGUGUGAAAGCCCACGGCUCAACCGUGGAAUUGCACUUGAUACUGCAUCGCUAGAGUAUAGGAGAGGGAAGUGGAAUUUCUGGUGUAGGAGUGAAAUCCGUAGAGAUCAGAAGGAACACCCGUGGCGAAGGCGACUUCCUGGACUAUUACUGACACUGAGGAGCGAAAGCGUGGGGAGCAAACAGGAUUAGAUACCCCUGGUAGACUGUCA
rnacentral:rRNA from 1 species